CCUACGGGAGGCAGCAGUGAGGAAUAUUGGUCAAUGGGCGGAAGCCUGAACCAGCCAAGUAGCGUGCGGGAUGAAGGCCCUACGGGUCGUAAACCGCUUUUGCACGGGGAUAACACCCUCCACUUGUGGAGGUCUGCAGGUACCGUGCGAAUAAGGGCCGGCUAAUUCCGUGCCAGCAGCCGCGGUAAUACGGAAGGCCCGAGCGUUAUCCGGAUUCAUUGGGCUUAAAGGGAGCGUAGGCGGGCGUAUAAGUUAGCUGUGAAAUCGCGCGGCUCAACCCCGGACGUGCGUUGAAUAUGGGAUGACUAGAGAAUAGAGGCGGUAGGCGGAAUGUAUGGUGUAGCGGUGAAAUGCGUAGAGAUCACACAGAACCCCGAUUGCGAGGGCAGCUUACCAAGGUACGACUGACGUUGAGGCACGAAGGUGUGGGGAGCAAACAGGAUUAGAUACCCGGGUAGUC
rnacentral:rRNA from 1 species